CAGCCGCCACGGUAAAACGAAGGGUGCAAGCGUUACUCGGAGUUACUGGGCGUAAAGCGUGCGUAGGUGGUGGUUUAAGUCCGUUGUGAAAGCCCUGGGCUCAACCUGGGAAUUGCAGUGGAUACUGGAUCACUAGAGUGUGGUAGAGGAUAGUGGAAUUUCCGGUGUAGCAGUGAAAUGCGUAGAGAUCGGAAGGAACAUCUGUGGCGAAGGCGACUAUCUGGGCCAACACUGACACUGAGGCACGAAAGCGUGGGGAGCAAACAGGAUUAGAUACCCCCGUAGUCCCUGUCUCUUAUAA
rnacentral:rRNA from 1 species